UUAGAGUUGAAUAAAACUGAAGAGUGAUUUAACAGUAUGACACACGCACCCAAAAAUACAUGUAUUGCCCUAAAACUGCCACAAAAUUCUGUCUACUAUUAAUGCUGUGGCUCCCUUCCAUCAAUUAUAGUUCCAGCACUUGCUCUUGAUCCAGUUAUGAGCUCAUCACCCUCGCAUUUUGCAUCCACCACUUCUCCUGCCAUUCCAAUUCAAUAUACAUUGCAUCAGUUUUCAUUUGAUGAAGCUACAAACAUGGACAUUUACGUCAAAUUAACUACAGAACAUCUGGACUGACUAGUUAUGUAUAGACUGAUCAGUUUACACUGAUAAUUUGAUAUUUUUUCAUACACGUGGGGUGGAAAGAGAGAGAGAGAGAGAGAGAGAGAGAGAGAGAGAGAGAGAGAGGGCCCCAACUUUGAGAUAGUGACUAUCACUCUCAAGUGACUUUUCCUAUUAAUGCGUUGGGAACACUUACAGCAAAAGAUAGAAGGCCAAGAUGGGACUUGAGGACCAAGACGUGUGCGGUUCAUAUUUCCAAAACUGUUACUUAUGACAUCUCUUUUCUACACUUGUAAGUUUGGGAUGAAUAGGAGAGAAGAGAAGGUACUGGUGGGGGCUUGAAACAGAAAUACCAAGCAACAAUCAAAAAACCGAGUGCAAAGGUGCAAGGCAUAUUAAGCAUAUAGCGAAGCCAGCAACAUUAUCUACUACACUUUGCCAGGUGUCACUUUGGCAAAGUUUUUGGAGGGACAGAGAGAGAGAGUUGGAAUUACAGGUGGUAUAGCGAUGAAAAGAACAUGCGAUCACUUUUCUUCUCCAGAACCUACUGAUCCUCCCACUAAAACAAUGGAUUGGUUAAGCAACAAAAACAGGCUCAGUUCUUGUGGUGGGAACAGAAAGAUAUACAAGUGAUUGAGAUGUGAGAGCAGAAUUAAAAGUAUUACAUAUAAAAAGGUUCAGUUCAUCCUUGGUAUUAGAUGCUUUCAGUUACUAAUCAGAAUCAAGGUACUGUAGGCCAUCCUUUAUCGAUGCUAUUAUAUUAUGCCAAUGCCUGUUUGGUCUUCCCUUGCCACCCCUUAGAAGAUCAACUUUUGUAACAUUACCCACCGGUGUCCUUACUUUCACUAGAAAAGCAGCAGCAUGCUAGACAUUUCACUGUUUGACCUUUUUUAUGAAACAACCCCAUUCACAUCUUGAGACAGGCAACCAAAGAAGACCAGAGAGGUCCAUACCUCAUGGGAGUCAAGCCACAUUCAAAAAUCUUAUCCUUUUCCCAACAACUUGAAUUGCACAAGCAGGAACUGGUGAGAUCUUGUGGUCCCAGUUGCCAACUCUUGGGUCUUGACUACAAUCUUAAGUUCAAGUACAAUCAAUAUUGAGCAGCAUAAUCAAUACACUGUAACUCGUCACAAACGCCAUGAAGGAGUUCAGGAAAAAAGUUGAACGAUAUUCCUAGCAAAUUGCUGGGGAAAAAGUGGACACCGAUUGUUAACCUUCAUCUAAACAUUUAAUCUAUAACUCAGAAUCAGUGGCUCACCAACAAUUGAGUGUAAUCAACCUUGACUUUACCUGAAUACUCAUUACAAUCAUCAUUUCAAGUCCCAAACUAUCAAAUGAGUUGAGCUUUUUUGAGGUCAGCAACAACUCCCCGAUCCUCAGAGCUCCUUAAUUUCAUUGUAUAGUACCU
rnacentral:lncRNA from 1 species